UACGUAGGGGGCAAGCGUUGUCCGGAAUCAUUGGGCGUAAAGCGCGUGUAGGCGGUCCGGUAAGUCCGCUGUGAAAGUCGGGGGCUCAACCCUCGGAUGCCGGUGGAUACUGUCGGGCUUGAGUACAGAAGAGGCGAGUGGAAUUCCUGGUGUAGCGGUGAAAUGCGCAGAUAUCAGGAGGAACACCAAUUGCGAAGGCAGCUCGCUGGGACGUUACUGACGCUGAGACGCGAAAGCGUGGGGAGCAAACAGG
rnacentral:rRNA from 1 species